rnacentral:rRNA from 1 species
AGGGUGACAGCCCCGUACACAAAAAUGCACAUACUGUGAGCUCGAUGAGUAGGGCGGGACACGUGGUAUCCUGUCUGAAUAUGGGGGGACCAUCCUCCAAGGCUAAAUACUCCUGACUGACCGAUAGUGAACCAGUACCGUGAGGGAAAGGCGAAAAGAACCCCGGCGAGGGGAGUGAAAAAGAACCUGAAACCGUGUACGUACAAGCAGUGGGAGCCUCUUAAUGGGGUGACUGCGUACCUUUUGUAUAAUGGGUCAGCGACUUAUAUUCUGUAGCAAGGUUAACCGAAUAGGGGAGCCGAAGGGAAACCGAGUCUUAACUGGGCGUUAAGUUGCAGGGUAUAGACCCGAAACCCGGUGAUCUAGCCAUGGGCAGGUUGAAGGUUGGGUAACACUAACUGGAGGACCGAACCGACUAAUGUUGAAAAAUUAGCGGAUGACUUGUGGCUGGGGGUGAAAGGCCAAUCAAACCGGGAGAUAGCUGGUUCUCCCCGAAAGCUAUUUAGGUAGCGCCUCGUGAAUUCAUCUCCGGGGGUAGAGCACUGUUUCGGCAAGGGGGUCAUCCCGACUUACCAACCCGAUGCAAACUGCGAAUACCGGAGAAUGUUAUCACGGGAGACACACGGCGGGUGCUAACGUCCGUCGUGAAGAGGGAAACAACCCAGACCGCCAGCUAAGGUCCCAAAGUCAUGGUUAAGUGGGAAACGAUGUGGGAAGGCCCAGACAGCCAGGAUGUUGGCUUAGAAGCAGCCAUCAUUUAAAGAAAGCGUAAUAGCUCACUGGUCGAGUCGGCCUGCGCGGAAGAUGUAACGGGGCUAAACCAUGCACCGAAGCUGCGGCAGCGACACUAUGUGUUGUUGGGUAGGGGAGCGUUCUGUAAGCCUGUGAAGGUGUACUGUGAGGUAUGCUGGAGGUAUCAGAAGUGCGAAUGCUGACAUAAGUAACGAUAAAGCGGGUGAAAAGCCCGCUCGCCGGAAGACCAAGGGUUCCUGUCCAACGUUAAUCGGGGCAGGGUGAGUCGACCCCUAAGGCGAGGCCGAAAGGCGUAGUCGAUGGGAAACAGGUUAAUAUUCCUGUACUUGGUGUUACUGCGAAGGGGGGACGGAGAAGGCUAUGUUGGCCGGGCGACGGUUGUCCCGGUUUAAGCGUGUAGGCUGGUUUUCCAGGCAAAUCCGGAAAAUCAAGGCUGAGGCGUGAUGACGAGGCACUACGGUGCUGAAGCGACAAAUGCCCUGCUUCCAGGAAAAGCCUCUAAGCAUCAGGUAACAUCAAAUCGUACCCCAAACCGACACAGGUGGUCAGGUAGAGAAUACCAAGGCGCUUGAGAGAACUCGGGUGAAGGAACUAGGCAAAAUGGUGCCGUAACUUCGGGAGAAGGCACGCUGAUAUGUAGGUGAAGCGACUUGCUCGUGGAGCUGAAAUCAGUCGAAGAUACCAGCUGGCUGCAACUGUUUAUUAAAAACACAGCACUGUGCAAACACGAAAGUGGACGUAUACGGUGUGACGCCUGCCCGGUGCCGGAAGGUUAAUUGAUGGGGUUAGCGGUAACGCGAAGCUCUUGAUCGAAGCCCCGGUAAACGGCGGCCGUAACUAUAACGGUCCUAAGGUAGCGAAAUUCCUUGUCGGGUAAGUUCCGACCUGCACGAAUGGCGUAAUGAUGGCCAGGCUGUCUCCACCCGAGACUCAGUGAAAUUGAACUCGCUGUGAAGAUGCAGUGUACCCGCGGCAAGACGGAAAGACCCCGUGAACCUUUACUAUAGCUUGACACUGAACAUUGAGCCUUGAUGUGUAGGAUAGGUGGGAGGCUUUGAAGUGUGGACGCCAGUCUGCAUGGAGCCGACCUUGAAAUACCACCCUUUAAUGUUUGAUGUUCUAACGUGGGCCCCUUACCGGGGUUGCGGACAGUGUCUGGUGGGUAGUUUGACUGGGGCGGUCUCCUCCUAAAGAGUAACGGAGGAGCACGAAGGUUGGCUAAUCCUGGUCGGACAUCAGGAGGUUAGUGCAAUGGCAUAAGCCAGCUUGACUGCGAGCGUGACGGCGCGAGCAGGUGCGAAAGCAGGUCAUAGUGAUCCGGUGGUUCUGAAUGGAAGGGCCAUCGCUCAACGGAUAAAAGGUACUCCGGGGAUAACAGGCUGAUACCGCCCAAGAGUUCAUAUCGACGGCGGUGUUUGGCACCUCGAUGUCGGCUCAUCACAUCCUGGGGCUGAAGUAGGUCCCAAGGGUAUGGCUGUUCGCCAUUUAAAGUGGUACGCGAGCUGGGUUUAGAACGUCGUGAGACAGUUCGGUCCCUAUCUGCCGUGGGCGCUGGAGAACUGAGGGGGGCUGCUCCUAGUACGAGAGGACCGGAGUGGACGCAUCACUGGUGUUCGGGUUGUCAUGCCAAUGGCACUGCCCGGUAGCUAAAUGCGGAAGAGAUAAGUGCUGAAAGCAUCUAAGCACGAAACUUGCCCCGAGAUGAGUUCUCCCUGACUCCUUGAGAGUCCUGAAGGAACGUUGAAGACGACGACGUUGAUAGGCCGGGUGUGUAAGCGCAGCGAUGCGUUGAGCUAACCGGUACUAAUGAACCGUGAGGCUUAACCUU